CACGGAUCACAGCUGCGGUGCUCUCAUCGAAGAGCUCGGUGUAUGGAAUGACAUGAACCAGAAUGAGAAGCUCUAGGAAUGAAGUUCCUGGAACCAAAAUCAAGACUCCGGAUUUAGUGCUAAUUCCUUUACCUACUGAACCAUCUCACUGGCCAAGAGACAGAAAGUUAAAACCACAAAGGGAAGCCAAAAAAACACCUGCAGGAAGCAGCAGAGUGGAGGCGGGGAAGUUACUGUGGCCGGGGAAUGGAUUCUAUGCCGCUGGAGGGAGCCCUCAUCCAGUGGCUGAUGGAAGCAGAGGCAGACACCCACAGCUAUACACUGAACUGAAUUCUGGACCCAGUUGCAGAGAGGGAGGAAUAAAGAUCAAAAGGGUUGGGACCAGGCUGGUGAAACCCACAGAAACAGCUGGCCUGAACAAGGGGGAGCACGACACCAGACUGCUGUCUGGGAAGCCAGCAUGGGACUGAUCAAGACCCCUGAAUGUGGAUGUCAAUGAAGAGGCCUCGACACUCUAUGGGGCCCCUGGUAGUAUCAGUAUUUUUCCCUGGUGUAAGAAGGAACUUUGAGAGCCCAUCCCACGUGAAGGGAUGCACUCUUGGCCUGGGCACAUGGGGGAGGGCGUAGGCCUGGCCCAGGAUGAUGUGGUGGACUUUGGGGAGCUCCCAUGGAGGGCCCUACCCUUCCUGGGGAGGGUAUGGAGUGGGGGACUGGUG
ensembl:lncRNA